UGGAUCCAGACUUUGAUCCUGGCUCAGGACGAACGCUGGCGGCGUGCCUAACACAUGCAAGUCGAACGGAGUCGGCCCCGCAAGGGACUGACUUAGUGGCGAACGGGUGAGUAACGCGUGAAUAACCUGCCUUUCAGUGGGGGAUAACCGUCGGAAACGACUGCUAAUACCGCAUAAUGUUCUCAGGGGGCCUCCCUUGAGAACCAAAGCUUUAUGUGCUGAAAGAUGGAUUCGCGUCUGAUUAGCUAGUUGGUGAGGUAACGGCUCACCAAGGCGACGAUCAGUAGCCGGUCUGAGAGGAUGAACGGCCACAUUGGGACUGAGAUACGGCCCAGACUCCUACGGGAGGCAGCAGUGGGGAAUAUUGGGCAAUGGGGGAAACCCUGACCCAGCAACGCCGCGUGAGGGAAGAAGGCUUUCGGGUUGUAAACCUCUUUUACCAGGGACGAAGGAUGUGACGGUACCUGGAGAAAAAGCAACGGCUAACUACGUGCCAGCAGCCGCGGUAAUACGUAGGUUGCAAGCGUUGUCCGGAAUCACUGGGUGUAAAGGGCGUGUAGGCGGAGAAGCAAGUUGGGAGUGAAAUCCAUGGGCUCAACCCAUGAACUGCUCUCAAAACUGUUUCCCUUGAGUAUCGGAGAGGCAAGCGGAAUUCCUAGUGUAGCGGUGAAAUGCGUAGAUAUUAGGAGGAACACCAGUGGCGAAGGCGGCUUGCUGGACGACAACUGACGCUGAGGCGCGAAAGCGUGGGGAGCAAACAGGAUUAGAUACCCUGGUAGUCCACGCUGUAAGCGAUGAAUACUAGGUGUGGGGGGACUGACCCCCUCCGUGCCGCAGUUAACACAAUAAGUAUUCCACCUGGGGAGUACGACCGCAAGGUUGCAACUCAAAUGAAUUGACGGA
rnacentral:rRNA from 1 species